rnacentral:lncRNA from 1 species
CUCCCAUAUUUUCAAGCCAGUUCAUCCCUCUGCACUUCUCCGAGGAUCCACCACGAGAGCUCGCGGCGAAGCGCCGGAAAAUGACGAAGCUCUUCGCGUUUGAGAAGAUGCCCAGGUUCAACAAUGUUUCACUGAAUCUGAAUGCUCAUCGUUAUAAUGUGUUGCUUUAUUUGUUGGUUAAAAUUAGGGUUUAUCAACAAAUGAGUUAUAUGUGAAUGCAAGAGUGUUGUAUGCAAUUUUUUUAAAGUUUAUUGUAGAUUGAGUCAGGACGAUCCUACUGUUCAAAACAAAUUUAAGUCCGACUACUUUCACAUGACAUCGGAGUGAAUAACUAAAUAACGUUUAAACAUGAAAUUAACCCUUGAUAAGUCUUAGAAAGUGGAUAUACAUACAGGAGAAUCUGGGGCUGUGCCUGAGGGGUUAGAGCUAUUUGCACAAGUAAGAAUUUGUCGAAAAGGGAAGCCGAAGGGUUUGCAUGCAUUGUUAGAUAUUGUUGCCAGGGAUGCCACACCAUGUAUGUCUUCAAGUUGAUUUAAAGAAAAAUAUAAUUAUCUUUGUAAAGCUAAGCAUUCAUAUUUAUCUUCUGCCAAUACUCAACCUCCCAAAACAAACCCAAACAAGAAGAAAAAAGAAUCAUUAGGGUGAACAUGUAAAUAAUAAGUAGGGUGAAUCUCUCUAUAGAUGAGUGUCUCUGCAGGAUGAAUGAAAAUGCUGGUUGCUGGCAAUAAAAUUGGAUCAUGAUAUGGUAAUACUCUGCAUACCUAGUUGUUUUCGUGUUAUCUAUGAACUGGAAAGAAUGUUGGAUUAUUCAUUUAUCGUCUUUUUCCCCUUAUAAUGGAUUCUGAAAUAUCUGUUACUCCUAAAUAUACCUAUUCAGAAUUGGUGGAGUGCUUCUUUCAAUUCCCAGUACUUGAAAGAAUGUUGGAUUAACUUUCAAGGUGCACCUCGUCCAGGAGUGUCUAAAGAAAAAUUUUGUAGUGGUAGAUGGUGCAAAUGUUGGCCUCACUAAUCAACGUAAUUAUAAUCUCCCAGGCGCCCUUGCUUUGUUUUACAUUCCUUUUUUGUUUUCUUAUACUCCCCUUGAUUCUUUUCUGAGGUGACCGUGGAAGAAUGCGUUUGGAGUUAAGGAUGUAUUUUGAUGUGUUUUAGAAUUAAGAAAAAAGAAGAAGAACAAACUACUUGUAUAGCAAUAUGCAUCGUUUGAUCUUUUUAACGAGGAAUUGCUACUUCCAUAAUUUAGCAUAACGUUUAGUGCAUAGUUUGCCUCUCUACAUCCACGAGGUAGGGGUAAGGUCGCUCUAUCCUUCCCAUGUGGGAUUUCAUUGGGUAUGUUGUUGUUUGGUGCAUAGAAUGGCUGAAAGAAAUAGUAGAAUUUUGAAGCAACAAGAGACACAUUCUUAGCCAUAAGUUUAGAGCUUUUUCUUUCCUAGCUCUUUGGUGCAACCUAAAUUUUGUACAUGAUGUAAAUGGCAUGUUAGAUACUAUCGAGGAAUUGCACAAUCUGUAACUCUGUUUUGUAGCUCUAGCUCAGUGUUAUUUUCUCUGUAACAAAAUUCUUUAUUACUUAUCAGGAAAAACUUUUUUUGGUAGUCUUUUUUUGUAUCACCUAGAAAUUUGUCUGGGCCCAUCCCUUAUGACUAAAUGCAACCUUCAAGACUCGGGGAUAAUGAGCCAGCUUCUCUUCCAUUAUCCACUUUAAUACCAGGCUCGAUACAGGCUUAUCCUGCAGUGACAAUAUGUCAGCAACUUUGUCCAUCUAGUCAAGAGUAAAUUCUUCUCCACAUUGAUCAAUCCACUUGCUUAAGCUAAACGGCUUGAAGCUUGUUAAUUUGGCCUCGAAGCUGAAGUGGUUCAGAGAAAUUUAUAUG